rnacentral:rRNA from 1 species
GACGUAGGGCGCAAGCGUUGUCCGGAUUUAUUGGGCGUAAAGAGCUCGUAGGCGGCUUGUCGCGUCGACUGUGAAAACCCGCAGCUUAACUGCGGGACUGCAGUCGAUACGGGCAGGCUAGAGUUCGGUAGGGGAGACUGGAAUUCCUGGUGUAACGGUGAAAUGCGCAGAUAUCAGGAGGAACACCGGUGGCGAAGGCGGGUCUCUGGGCCGAUACUGACGCUGAGGAGCGAAAGCGUGGGGAGCGAACAGG